rnacentral:rRNA from 1 species
CGUAGGGUGCAAGCGUUAAUCGGAAUUACUGGGCGUAAAGCGUGCGCAGGCGGCUUUGCAAGACAGAUGUGAAAUCCCCGGGCUUAACCUGGGAACUGCAUUUGUGACUGCAUGGUUGGAGUGCGGCAGAGGGGGAUGGAAUUCCGCGUGUAGCAGUGAAAUGCGUAGAUAUGCGGAGGAACACCGAUGGCGAAGGCAAUCCCCUGGGCCUGCACUGACGCUCAUGCACGAAAGCGUGGGGAGCAAACAGGAUUAGAUACCCUGGUAGUCCGCGCCCUAAACGAUGUCAACUGGUUGUUGGACGGCUUGCUGUUCAGUAACGAAGCUAACGCGUGAAGUUGACCGCCUGGGGAGUACGGCCGCAAGGUUG